CUCCUGGAAACGGGUGGUAAUGCCGGAUGCUCCGACUCCUCGCAUGGGGUGUCGGGAAAGAUUUCAUCGGUAUGGGAUGGGGUCGCGUCCUAUCAGGUAGUCGGCGGGGUAACGGCCCACCGAGCCUACGACGGGUAGCCGGCCUGAGAGGGCGACCGGCCACAUUGGGACUGAGAUACGGCCCAGACUCCUACGGGAGGCAGCAGUGGGGAAUAUUGCACAAUGGGCGCAAGCCUGAUGCAGCGACGCCGCGUGAGGGAUGGAGGCCUUCGGGUUGUAAACCUCUUUUAUCGGGGAGCAAGCGAGAGUGAGUUUACCCGUUGAAUAAGCACCGGCUAACUACGUGCCAGCAGCCGCGGUAAUACGUAGGGUGCAAGCGUUAUCCGGAAUUAUUGGGCGUAAAGGGCUCGUAGGCGGUUCGUCGCGUCCGGUGUGAAAGUCCAUCGCUUAACGGUGGAUCCGCGCCGGGUACGGGCGGGCUUGAGUGCGGUAGGGGAGACUGGAAUUCCCGGUGUAACGGUGGAAUGUGUAGAUAUCGGGAAGAACACC
rnacentral:rRNA from 1 species